AUUGAACGCUGGCGGCAUGCUUUACACAUGCAAGUCGAACGGCAGCGCGGGCUUCGGCCGGGCGGCGAGUGGCGAACGGGUGAGUAAUGCAUCGGAACGUGCCCAGUAGUGGGGGAUAGCCCGGCGAAAGCCGGAUUAAUACCGCAUACGACCUGAGGGUGAAAGCGGGGGACCGAAAGGCCUCGCGCUAUUGGAGCGGCCGAUGUCGGAUUAGCUAGUUGGUGGGGUAAAGGCUUACCAAGGCGACGAUCCGUAGCUGGUCUGAGAGGACGACCAGCCACACUGGGACUGAGACACGGCCCAGACUCCUACGGGAGGCAGCAGUGGGGAAUUUUGGACAAUGGGGGCAACCCUGAUCCAGCCAUGCCGCGUGCGGGAAGAAGGCCUUCGGGUUGUAAACCGCUUUUGUUCGGGAAGAAAUCCUCUGGGCUAAUACCCCGGGGGGAUGACGGUACCGGAAGAAUAAGCACCGGCUAACUACGUG
rnacentral:rRNA from 1 species